rnacentral:rRNA from 1 species
GGUCGAAAGGGGAAAUUCAUUCGCGUUUCGAGUGUCAGAGUUGAACGUUCGAGUGACGGAUGGCGUUCGCGUCGUCUGCGCCGUUCGUUCUUCUAGCUGACUUCGAACGCGUGCACUUUUCCUCUAGUAGGACGUCGCGAUCCGUUGGGUGUCUGUCUAAGACUCGAGGUGGAGCCCACGUGACGUUCGUCGCGUGGACCCUUGAUGUUCCGACAGACUCGCUCGACGGUAUUUAAAUGGCGCGGGGCCGCUACAAUUAGUUAGCGUUCGGCCCGCAGCAAGCACGUUCUGUGUUUGACGGCGAUCGGACCUGGUGCCGAUUCUGUCCCGGAACGACUGUUGGUUGCGGUGUUCUCGAACAGACCUCG